UUCUUCCUUCUCCUUCGUUAUUUGUUCUUCUUCGUCCCCAGACUCCAUAGAAACUCCACCUUCACCUCGCCGCAAACUAACACCAUCACCACCGCCGCAAACACCACCACUAUCUUCACCUGCAGCUCUCUAUCGACUUAAACACCACCACCACUACCAGUUUCGUCUUCUCUGCCUUUUUCUACAAAUCACCCGUACUUUCUCAAUCUAAAUCUCCGUUCAUCAGAACCCAAUUUCCACUCUAAAUUUCGAAUAUUCUGUACUCAAUUUCGAAUUUAGAGUACAGAUUUUUGAUUUGAUUGAAUAAUUCAAUCAUCAUCUAACUUGUAACCCUAAAUACGAAAUUGGGUGAAUUUUUAAUUGAUUGAAUUACUUUUGAGUUGUGAGGGAUUUAGGAUUUCUGCAAACUUUUGAUUAAUCGAAGAAAAAUUUGAGGUAAGAUUAAUGGCGCAUAUGAUAACAAUUUGAGGUAAGAAUAACGCUGCUAAACCCUAUUAGUUUGUCCAUCCUUGAAACUUAUCCAUGUUUUAACUAGCUCAUUGAAUUUGUGUUUUAACCCUAUUAGUUUGUGCAUCGUUGAAAUCUUAGUUUGCAGUAGAGAAUCGAAGAUUAUAUAUGAAAUUAGGAUUUUUGAGUAUUGAUGUAACGUGAGAAAUAGUUGAUGUAACGGGUCUUAAAGCAUAAUUCCAUCUUCACAUUCCAGCUUGGACUUUUCAUCAGUUUUAAAAUCACAAUGAUUGUAAUGUUGGUUGUUUAACUGGUUGGUGUGGAGAAUAGUGGAGGAGGAGGGAGGGAGUGGUAAAGCAAUUUCUGAAGUAGGCUGGUACAUACUUGGGGAGAAUCAAGAACAUGUUGGUCCAUAUGCAUUCUCAGAAUUACAAGAGCAACAAGAGUGCCUGAAGCUCAUACAGGACAAGUUCAAAGAGGAGAUAAACCAGCAUAUCCAGGACUGCAAGAACACACUCGAUGAUCUGCAAGCCUAUCAGAUUGAGUUAAAAAAAAAUGCAGAGAAGCAAAGUAUGAAUAUCGACCUUUUAUUUUGUUUGAGGCAGUUAUGUGGAGUUGAGAACUUGAAUGCUGAGACUUGAGAAGUGAAUGAAAUUGGGAAUUUUAGCGACGAAGUAAACAAAUUCUAAGUUCGGUAAUGAAUUUGUUUAAUUUCGUUACUGAAUCGAUCAGUUUAUAUCGAUGCCGUUGAUGGGUAAUGAAUCUGUUUAAGUUCGGCUUGAAAUAAAGCUGGAGCAUGAACUCAAGAGAAGAAGGAUGAACAUCAAGAUGAGUCUGAAUUGCACGAGUCUGUAUGGUGCUGUGUAGUUUGUUUGAAUGAAGAAAGAGGAUCUGGAUUUUGAACUGCUUCCAUUAACUUUUGUCGAUGAAUGAUGGAAUGAGAUAUUCAAGGUCUGAGAGUUUACAAAGAAUUGGAGACUUGGGUUUGAAUUAGAUUUGUACUUGGCUUGGUUUAGAGACUGUCGGUGACAAGAGAUGUGGAUUUAUCUUGAAUUUACGAUUAACUGCAGGGAAGGAGGUAUGGGAAUGAUCAAGAUAAAACCAGCAGAUCAUAUCUACAUAACAAACACAAUACACAACACACGUUUGUAAGUCCUGAAUGAACUGCGACUAGUUUCUUAAUGGAGGAGUUUGUAUGGUGAACUGUUGGGCGAGAAAGCCACAAAGAGUAGUUGUUGUUGUUGUGUUGUCUCGAUGGGGAUUUGAAAUUGUUUGAAAUGGGAAGAAGGAGCAGCAAGGUGUUGGUGGUGGCUGUGCCCAAGAAGAGUGGAUGAGUUAGUGUGGUUGAAUUGUGGAUUGAUGGUCUGUGACCAGGAAGAUGCACAUGGAUUUAGGUACUGGUAGCUGUUGCAGUCAACAGUGAGAAAUGAGAUUAUAAAAAGUAGCAGCAGUAGGAAUGGGUGCAGCUGCAAUGGAGGCACUCAGUGAGAAAUUAGGGAUGUAGAUGGAUUUGCUGUGUUUCUGCAAUGGCCAAUGGGUUUGCUGGCAGUAAGAUACAGAGAAGAACUUGGGUGAUGUAGUGAAGGAGUUGAUGUAUCUGUUGCACCUAGAAGACGGAGGAACGAAGAAAACUCUGUUUGCGUCACCAACUUCUCAGAAGAUACUCGCGAGCCUGACAUGCUUGAUCUAUUCGGAACAUUUGGUGCUAUCAGUCAUGUUCAUGUUGCUGUAGACCAGAGGACUGGCAUUAGUUGAGGAUUUGGUUUUGUAAACUUUUGUGAACAAGGAAGAUGUUGAGAGGGCGAUUCACAAUCUCAAUAGGUACGGUUAUCACAAUCUUAUCCUCGGAGUAGAAUGGGAGACUCCUAGGGGAAAUUCGAACAAAACAAGACGCAUGUACCUCAUUUCCAAUCUUAAAAUUACUCUAGAGUUGGGUGUUACUUUCUGAUUCGCACAUGCUAUCCGUUUUCAGUGUUAUCUAAUUUCGUAUUUUUGUCAUCUAAAGGUUACCACACUACUUUUUUUUGGGUGUUAUUUUUGUUUGAACAUCUCUUUUACAAAAAAAAUUCCCUUUAGUUCUU